UAACGUCGGGGGUAGCCUUUCGAAAGAAAGAUUAAUACCCGAUAGUACUUAUAUAAGGCAUCUUAAAUAAGUUAAAGAUUUAUUGGUUAUGGAUGGGGAUGCGUUCCAUUAGAUAGUUGGUGAGGUAACGGCUCACCAAGUCUUCGAUGGGUAGGGGUUCUGAGAGGAACGGUCCCCCACAUUGGUACUGAGACACGGACCAAACUCCUACGGGAGGCAGCAGUGAGGAAUAUUGGUCAAGUGGGCGAGACGCCUGAACCAGCCAAGUAGCGUGAAGGAUGGAAACGGUCCUAUGGAUUGUAAACUUCUUUUAUAGUAGAAUAAAGUGAUCCACGUGUGGAUUUUUGUAUGUAUACUAUGAAUAAGGAUCGGCUAACUCCGUGCCAGCAGCAGC
rnacentral:rRNA from 1 species